rnacentral:rRNA from 1 species
GAUGAACGCUGGCGGCGUGCUUAAUACAUGCAAGUCGAACGAAGACAGUAGCAAUAUUGUCUGAGUGGCGAACGGGUGAGUAACGCGUUGGUGACCUGCCCCGAAGAGAGGGAUAACAGUCCGAAAGGAUUGCUAAUACCCCAUGUGGUCGUUUGGAUUAGAUGCCUUAUGACUAAACGGAUUUAUUCGCUUCGGGAGGGGCCUGCGUCCCAUCAGCUAGUUGGUAGGGUAAUGGCCCACCAAGGCGAUGACGGGUAGGGGACCUGAGAGGGUGGCCCCCCACAAUGGAACUGAAACACGGUCCAUACACCUACGGGUGGCAGCAGUAGGGAAUAUUGGUUAAUCUGGGAAACCGGGAACCAGCAACGCCGCGUGCACGAUGAAGGCCUUCGGGUUGUAAAGUGCUUUUUGAAAGGAUGAGGAAGGACAGUACUUUCAGAAUAAGCUUCGGCUAACUACGUGCCAGCCGCCGCGGUAAUAC